AUUAUAAGGAGAGCAAGAGGAUGGAGGCUUUCUCUAAUUUCUUUUUUACAUUUUAUGAACAUUUUCUCUGAAAAAGAAGGUCUUGCAUAGUGCCAUGCCAUAACUGAACUGCAGAAAAACAACACGGCCUAUGUUUGGUGUCAAAAGCCGGAACUUUCAAUCAGUCCUGUCUUGUUUUUCAGCCAGGCGUUGUGGGGCAGAUGAUUGAGGCAGCUGAAGAGCGCCCGUGGCUGUGGGUAGUCUAUAUUCUAACUGUAGCCCUUCCUGUGUUCCUGGUUAUCCUCUUCUGCUGUUCUGGAAAGAAACAGACCAGUGCUAUGGAGUAUAAGAAAACUGAUGCACCUCAACCGGAUGUGAAGGAAGAGGAAGAAGAGAAGGAAGAGGAAAAGGACAAGGGAGAUGAGGAGGAGGAAGGAGAAGAGAAACUUGAAGAGAAACAGAAAAGUGAUGCUGAAGAAGAUGGUGGCACUGUCAGUCAAGAGGAG
rnacentral:sRNA from 1 species